CUUGUUUUUCUCUUUUAGCCUGGCUACCCAGGGGUUGCUUCUGGGUCAUCAUAAGCCACUUAUUCAUCAGAGAUUGGAUUUAAACCUCCUUGGUUGAUUAGAUUCCUUGAUAUAUGUGGCAUGGAGGCUGCAAUCACAAUUCAGGGAGUUUACGUUUUGACCCACAUACUGGUAGCUUGGAUUUUCUUCUCUGUGGUAACUCCUGAGAGAGCACAGCCUUAGGUAUGCACAUAGUCUUCCAGAUUACCAGGGAUGUGCAUGAUUUUAUUUUUAAUCCUGGCUUCCUAGUAGUUGCCUCUGAGUCAGAGUAGUUUAUUGUUCAAGCAGUAUUUGUUCAGAGGUUGGCCCUAAGCCCCUAGUGCUGGUGGGGCUUCAGCUGUUUGCUGAUGGAUCUGUGUUCUGGUUGGCAAAUGAUUUUCAGUCUUCCUGUUCCUGAGCAGGUUCAGCCUGGGGCUUGCACACAAACUUCUAGAUGACCCAGAGAUAAGUGUGAUCCAAGGAGGGCUCUUCUUGGCAAUCUUUUUCCCUGAUUCUUCCUGUUAAAUUUCUGGUUGUUCUGCCAUUUUGCUUGUUGCUACUAGUAUUAUGGAGCUAUGAGCAUACUCUUUAAUUUUCUCCACCAAGAUCUCUGUUGUUUCAGACAACAUCAUUGAGCUGGAAUUCUUUAUCCUCUCUUCUAAAUAAGGUCAGUCCCUUAAAUACAGCUGGGGAGGUUUUCAUCCUGCCUUUCCUCCGAACAGAACUUCUGCACCACUGCACAGAAGCUGGAGGUGGAGACAGAAGCCCACUUCUAGAAUGACACCCUGCUCUACAGACGGAGUCUCGCUCUGUC
rnacentral:lncRNA from 1 species